AGAUUCCUACGGGAGGCAGCAGUGGGGAAUAUUGGGCAAUGGGCGCAAGCCUGACCCAGCAACGCCGCGUGAAGGAAGAAGGCUUUCGGGUUGUAAACUUCUUUUAUUCGGGACGAAGAAAGUGACGGUACCGAAUGAAUAAGCCACGGCUAACUACGUGCCAGUAGCCGCGGUAAUACGUAGGUGGCAAGCGUUAUCCGGAUUUAUUGGGUGUAAAGGGCGUGUAGGCGGGAAUGCAAGUCAGAUGUGAAAACUCA
rnacentral:rRNA from 1 species